rnacentral:rRNA from 1 species
CCUACGGGUGGCUGCAGUGAGGAAUAUUGGUCAAUGGACGAGAGUCUGAACCAGCCAAGUAGCGUGAAGGAUGACUGCCCUAUGGGUUGUAAACUUCUUUUAUAUGGGAAUAAAACGUUCCCCGUGUGGGAUUUUGUAUGUACCAUAUGAAUAAGGAUCGGCUAACUCCGUGCCAGCAGCUGCGGUAAUACGGAGGAUCCGAGCGUUAUCCGGAUUUAUUGGGUUUAAGGGAGCGGAGGUGGGUUGUUAAGUCAGUUGUGAAAGUUUGCGGCUCAACCGUAAAAUUGCAGUUGAAACUGGCAGUCUUGAGUACAGUAGAGGUGAGCGGAAUUCGUGGUGUAGCGGUGAAAUGCUUAGAUAUCACGAAGAACUCCGAUUGCGAAGGCAGUUCACUGGACUGCAACUGACACUGAGGCUCGAAAGUGUGGGUAUCAAACAGGAUUAGAUACCCUUGUAGUC